rnacentral:rRNA from 1 species
CAGGUAGUCAAGAUGAGAAUUCUAAGGUGAGCGAGCGAACUCUCGUUAAGGAACUCGGCAAAAUGACCCCGUAACUUCGGGAGAAGGGGUGCUCUUUAGGGUUAACGCCCAGAAGAGCCGCAGUGAAUAGGCCCAAGCGACUGUUUAUCAAAAACACAGGUCUCUGCUAAACCGUAAGGUGAUGUAUAGGGGCUGACGCCUGCCCGGUGCUGGAAGGUUAAGAGGAGUGGUUAGCUUCUGCGAAGCUACGAAUCGAAGCCCCAGUAAACGGCGGCCGUAACUAUAACGGUCCUAAGGUAGCGAAAUUCCUUGUCGGGUAAGUUCCGACCCGCACGAAAGGCGUAACGAUUUGGGCACUGUCUCAACGAGAGACUCGGUGAAAUCAUAGUACCUGUGAAGAUGCAGGUUACCCGCGACAGGACGGAAAGACCCCGUGGAGCUUUACUGUAGCCUGAUAUUGAAAUUCGGCACAGCUUGUACAGGAUAGGUAGGAGCCUUUGAAACGUGAGCGCUAGCUUACGUGGAGGCGCUGGUGGGAUACUACCCUAGCUGUGUUGGCUUUCUAACCCGCACCACUUAUCGUGGUGGGAGACAGUGUCAGGCGGGCAGUUUGACUGGGGCGGUCGCCUCCUAAAAGGUAACGGAGGCGCUCAAAGGUUCCCUCAGAAUGGUUGGAAAUCAUUCAUAGAGUGUAAAGGCAUAAGGGAGCUUGACUGCGAGACCUACAAGUCGAGCAGGGUCGAAAGACGGACUUAGUGAUCCGGUGGUUCCGCAUGGAAGGGCCAUCGCUCAACGGAUAAAAGCUACCCCGGGGAUAACAGGCUUAUCUCCCCCAAGAGUUCACAUCGACGGGGAGGUUUGGCACCUCGAUGUCGGCUCAUCGCAUCCUGGGGCUGUAGUCGGUCCCAAGGGUUGGGCUGUUCGCCCAUUAAAGCGGUACGCGAGCUGGGUUCAGAACGUCGUGAGACAGUUCGGUCCCUAUCCGUCGUGGGCGUAGGAAAUUUGAGAGGAGCUGUCCUUAGUACGAGAGGACCGGGAUGGACAUACCUCUGGUGUACCAGUUGUCGUGCCAACGGCAUAGCUGGGUAGCUAUGUGUGGACGGGAUAAGUGCUGAAAGCAUCUAAGCAUGAAGCCCCCCUCAAGAUGAGAUUUCCCAACUUCGGUUAUAAGAUCCCUCAAAG